rnacentral:lncRNA from 1 species
AUGAGGGUGCCUGCCCGGCCCAGAAAGCCACCAAAAAGAACAGACCCAGGUUGUGACACGUUGUUGGAGGGCUGCAGAGCCGGGGCAUUCCCCCCCAGCCAUGCACGGCCCCUUUCCCAUCCCCUCCCUGCCCUUUCCAGCUCCCUCGGGCUGAGCUGGGCGAGUCCCAGCGCUGAGGAAGGGACCUCGAAGGCAACGGGGCGGCCGCAGCUGGAAACCAGUGCUCCCAGUGCUCCCAGUGCCCCUGCCGAAACGCUGCGGGUCCUGCUGAUGGCUCGAACUGCUUUGGCGCAGAAACCCAAACCUCACCUGUUUCCCAAAUCCCAUCCCGGCCAGGAAAAUACAACUCCACGACCUGGAGCACAGAUUUACAGCCGUGCUCCGCCGCCUGCCCCUUGCCCCUCUGAGCUCUGCCUACUGGGGUCUGAGGCAGAGCAAUCCCAGCAAGGACAGAGCCCAAAACGUGCCCCGAGGCAGCGGGGCCGGCACCUCCCCGGCUUCCACGCCGGGAUUUUGGCACCGAGGCGAACUCGUUCAGUGGCUUUGGAGAGCAGAGCGUGGCCCCGGAGCUCCCGAGGCUCCCCGAGGAGCAGGUCCCACAGCUUCUGGCUCCCUCCAGCCCGGCGCCGGCUCUUGCACAAGGCGAGGAGCUGCUCGCAGCCCUGGCUCUGGGCUGCCCUGCUCCCCACGCCCCAGCACCCAAAAAUCUGGGGGAAUUCACCCAGCGCCAGGCUCCCCUGCCUCCCCGUGCUGCGAGUGGUGACGGAGGGCAAGGAGCACCCGGCUCCAAACCCCGAAAAGCCCCCGUGGGAUGGCGACGGCGGGGAGCAGGCGUGUUUUUGGGGAGGGGGAAGGGACCACGCGUUUCCCCAAGCCCUUAAACAGAUGUUUGGAGGGAAGGCAAGCUCGGGAAGGAGGCAGGAGGUGCUGGGAGCGCGGGACACGCACGAGCCUGCCCGCUGCAAGCACACGUCUGGAGCUGGGGGCUCUGCGUGCGCUGGGUUUCCAGCAGCUCUCCAGCAAAAUUUUGGCUGGGCCCAGCUCCAGGCUCGCAGGGAGGAAGCCUCGUGUGUGUGUCCGUGCUCGGUGGGCUCCCCCCAAACCCCCCCGCCAUCAAAAUACCUUCGGUCCAUCUAUCGCCGUGCCCAGAAACAAUCGGGCGAUUCAUGGGCUGCUGUCAGGACUUGCUUUGUUCGACGCAUCAGCUCGGAACAAAAAGCACACUGCGAGGCUUUUGGUGCCUAA